CGUAGGUGGCGAGCGUUAUCCGGAUUUACUGGGCGUAAAGGGUGUGCAGGCGGGUCAUUAAGUGGUGUAUGAAAUCGUCCGGCUCAACCGGGCGAGGUUAUGCCAGACUGGUGGUCUAGAGAGCGAGAGAGGGACGUGGAAUUCCGGGUGUAGUGGUGAAAUGCGUAGAGAUCCGGAGGAACCCCAGAGGCGAAGGCGGCGUCCUGGCUCGCAUCUGACGCUCAGACACGACAGCAUGGGGAGCGAACGGGAUUAGAAACCCCGGUAGUCCAUGCCGUAAACGAUGCCAACUAGGCGCUGGCGGUCUCAACCCCGUCGGUGCCGCAGCAAACGCGAUAAGUUGGCCGCCUGGGGAGUACGGUCGCAAGGCUA
rnacentral:rRNA from 1 species